UGCUCAGGACGAACGCUGGNGGCGUGCCUAAUACAUGCAAGUCGAGCGAACAGAAGGGAGCUUGCUCCCGGAUGUUAGCGGCGGACGGGUGAGUAACACGUGGGUAACCUGCCUGUAAGACUGGGAUAACUCCGGGAAACCGGAGCUAAUACCGGAUAGUUCCUUGAACCGCAUGGUUCAAGGAUGAAAGACGGUUUCGGCUGUCACUUACAGAUGGACCCGCGGCGCAUUAGCUAGUUGGUGGGGUAAUGGCUCACCAAGGCGACGAUGCGUAGCCGACCUGAGAGGGUGAUCGGCCACACUGGGACUGAGACACGGCCCAGACUCCUACGGGAGGCAGCAGUAGGGAAUCUUCCGCAAUGGACGAAAGUCUGACGGAGCAACGCCGCGUGAGUGAUGAAGGUUUUCGGAUCGUAAAGCUCUGUUGUUAGGGAAGAACAAGUGCGAGAGUAACUGCUCGCACCUUGACGGUACCUAACCAGAAAGCCACGGCUAACUACGUGCCAGCAGCCGCGGUAAUACGUAGGUGGCAAGCGUUGUCCGGAAUUAUUGGGCGUAAAGGGCUCGCAGGCGGUUUCUUAAGUCUGAUGUGAAAGCCCCCGGCUCAACCGGGGAGGGUCAUUGGAAACUGGGAAACUUGAGUGCAGAAGAGGAGAGUGGAAUUCCACGUGUAGCGGUGAAAUGCGUAGAGAUGUGGAGGAACACCAGUGGCGAAGGCGACUCUCUGGUCUGUAACUGACGCUGAGGAGCGAAAGCGUGGGGAGCGAACAGGAUUAGAUACCCUGGUAGUCCACGCCGUAAACGAUGAGUGCUAAGUGUUAGGGGGUUUCCGCCCCUUAGUGCUGCAGCUAACGCAUAAGCACUCCGCCUGG
rnacentral:rRNA from 1 species